rnacentral:rRNA from 1 species
GGUUAAGUUAACAAGGGCGCAUGGUGAAUGCCUUGGCACUAGGAGCCGAUGAAGGACGGGACUAACACCGAUAUGCUUCGGGGAGCUGUACGUAAGCUAUGAUCCGGAGAUUUCCGAAUGGGGCAACCCAGCAGUUUUAAUCAACUGUUACCACUAGAUGAAUUCAUAGUCUAGUUGGAGGUAAACGCUGUGAACUGAAACAUCUCAUUAGCAGCAGGAAUAUAAAGAAAUUUCGAUUCCCUAAGUAGCGGCGAGCGAACGGGGAACAGCCCAAACCAAAGUGCUUGCACUUUGGGGUUGUAGGACUGAACAUUUGAGUUACCAAAGAACUUGAUAGUCGAAGGAUUUGGGAAAAUCCGCCAUAGAUGGUGAUAGCCCAGUAGAUUAAAUCAAAUUCUCUCAGUUCAGGAUCCUGAGUACGGCGGAACACGUGAAAUUCCGUCGGAAUCCGGGAGGACCAUCUCCCAAGGCUAAAUACUACCUAGUGACCGAUAGUGAACCAGUACCGUGAGGGAAAGGUGAAAAGCACCCCGGGAGGGGAGUGAAAUAGUUCCUGAAACCAUGUGCCUACAAUAAGUCAGAGCGCGUUAAUGCGUGAUGGCGUGCCUUUUGUAGAAUGAACCGGCGAGUUAUGAUCCCGUGCAAGGUUAAGACUAAAAAGUCGGAGCCGUAGCGAAAGCGAGUCUGAAAUGGGCGUUUUGAGUACGAGGUUAUAGACCCGAAACCAGGUGACCUAUCCAUGUCCAGGUUGAAGGUGCGGUAAAACGCACUGGAGGACCGAACCCGUGUAAGUUGAAAAUUGCUGGGAUGAGGUGUGGAUAGCGGUGAAAUUCCAAACGAACUUGGAGAUAGCUGGUUCUCUCCGAAAUAGCUUUAGGGCUAGCCUCGGAAUUAGGAUCAUGGAGGUAGAGCACUAUUUGGACUAGGGGCCCGUCUUGGGUUACUGAAUUCAGAUAAACUCCGAAUGCCAUUGAUUCAUAUCCGGGAGUCAGACGAUGAGUGAUAAGAUCCACCGUCGAAAGGGGAACAGCCCAGACCAUCAGUUAAGGUCCCUAAAUGUAUGCUAAGUGGAAAAGGAUGUGGAGUUGCAUAGACAACUAGGAUGUUGGCUCAGAAGCAGCCACCAUUUAAAGAGUGCGUAAUAGCUCACUAGUCGAGUGAUCCUGCGCCGAAAAUGUACCGGGGCUAAGCAUACUACCGAAACCAUGGAUGCGACCAUUAGGUCGCGUGAUAGGAGAGCGUUCUAAGGGCGGUGAAGCAAGAUCGUGAGGACUUGUGGAGCGCUUAGAAGUGAGAAUGCCGGUAUGAGUAGCGAAAGAUAGGUGAGAAUCCUAUCCACCGAAUGACUAAGGUUUCCUGGGGAAGGCUCGUCCUCCCAGGGUUAGUCGGGACCUAAGUCGAGGCCGAGAGGCGUAGACGAUGGAUAACAGGUUGAGAUUCCUGUACUAGUUAAGUGCGUUUGAGCAAUGGAGGGACGCAGGAGGCUAAGAUGUGCAUUCUGUUGGAUUAGAAUGUCCAAGCAGUAAGUCUUGUGAAGAGUCAAAUGCUUUUCACUUUAAGGACAAGCUGUGAUGGGGAGCGAAAUUUAGUAGCGAAGCGUCUGAUGUCACACUGCCGAGAAAAGCUUCUAGUGAGUACUUAACUACCCGUACCGCAAACCGACACAGGUAGUCGAGGAGAGAAUCCUAAGGUGAGCGAGUGAACUCUCGUUAAGGAACUCGGCAAAAUGACCCCGUAACUUCGGGAGAAGGGGUGCUGAUCGCAAGAUCAGCCGCAGUGAAUAGGCCCAGGCGACUGUUUAUCAAAAACACAGGUCUCUGCAAAAUCGUAAGAUGACGUAUAGGGGCUGACGCCUGCCCGGUGCUGGAAGGUUAAAAGGAUGGGUUAGCUUCGGCGAAGCUCAGAAUUGAAGCCCCAGUAAACGGCGGCCGUAACUAUAACGGUCCUAAGGUAGCGAAAUUCCUUGUCGGGUAAGUUCCGACCCGCACGAAAGGCGUAACGAUCUGGGCGCUGUCUCAACGAGAGACUCGGUGAAAUUAUAUUGUCCGUGAAGAUGCGGACUACCCGCGACAGGACGGAAAGACCCCAUGGAGCUUUACUGUAGCUUGAUAUUGAGUGUUUGUACAGCUUGUACAGGAUAGGUAGGAGCCAUAGAAACCGGAACGCUAGUUUCGGUGGAGGCGUUGGUGGGAUACUACCCUCGCUGUAUGACCACUCUAACCCGCACCACUAAUCGUGGUGGGAGACAGUGUCAGGUGGGCAGUUUGACUGGGGCGGUCGCCUCCUAAAAAGUAACGGAGGCGCCCAAAGGUUCCCUCAGAAUGGUUGGAAAUCAUUCGCAGAGUGUAAAGGCACAAGGGAGCUUGACUGCGAGACAGACAGGUCGAGCAGGGACGAAAGUCGGGCUUAGUGAUCCGGUGGUACCGUAUGGAAGGGCCAUCGCUCAACGGAUAAAAGCUACCCUGGGGAUAACAGGCUUAUCUCCCCCAAGAGUCCACAUCGACGGGGAGGUUUGGCACCUCGAUGUCGGCUCAUCGCAUCCUGGGGCUGUAGUCGGUCCCAAGGGUUGGGCUGUUCGCCCAUUAAAGCGGUACGCGAGCUGGGUUCAGAACGUCGUGAGACAGUUCGGUCCCUAUCCGUCGCGGGCGUAGGAAAUUUGAGAGGACCUGUCCUUAGUACGAGAGGACCGGGAUGGACAUACCUCUGGUGUACCAGUUGUGCCGCCAGGCGCAUCGCUGGGUAGCUACGUAUGGAUGUGAUAAACGCUGAAAGCAUCUAAGUGUGAAACACACCUCGAGAUGAGAUUUCCCAUUCCUUUAUGGAAGUAAGACCCCUGAAAGAUGAUCAGGUAGAUAGGUUAGAAGUGGCAGUGCGGUGACGCAUGAAGCGGACUAAUACUAAUCGGUCGAGGACUUAACCAA